rnacentral:rRNA from 1 species
UGUGUGGGGUUUAGGCCCAGGGGUAUUAUUGGUGUUUAUGCACUGGUGAUUACCCUGAGCAGUAUUGUUUUAAAAUGGAUUGAACGAGAGAGUUUGAUCCUGGCUCAGAUUGAACGCUGGCGGCAUGCCUAACACAUGCAAGUCGAACGGUAGCAGGCCUUCGGGUGCUGACGAGUGGCGGACGGGUGAGUAAUGCGUAGGAAUCUGUCUUUUAGUGGGGGACAACCCAGGGAAACUUGGGCUAAUACCGCAUGAGCCCUGAGGGGGAAAGCGGGGGAUCUUCGGACCUCGCGCUAAGAGAAGAGCCUACGUCUGAUUAGCUAGUUGGUAGGGUAAAGGCCUACCAAGGCGACGAUCAGUAGCUGGUCUGAGAGGACGACCAGCCACACUGGGACUGAGACACGGCCCAGACUCCUACGGGAGGCAGCAGUGGGGAAUUUUUCG